rnacentral:rRNA from 1 species
UUGAACGCUGGCGGCAUGCUUUACACAUGCAAGUCGAACGGUAACAGGUUAAGCUGACGAGUGGCGAACGGGUGAGUAAUGCAUCGGAACGUGCCCGAUCGUGGGGGAUAACGCAGCGAAAGCUGUGCUAAUACCGCAUACGAUCUCUGGAUGAAAGCGGGGGACCUGCAAGGGCCUCGCGCGAUUGGAGCGGCCGAUAUCAGAUUAGCUAGUUGGUGGGGUAAAAGCUCACCAAGGCGACGAUCUGUAGCUGGUCUGAGAGGACGACCAGCCACACUGGAACUGAGACACGGUCCAGACUCCUACGGGAGGCAGCAGUGGGGAAUUUUGGACAAUGGGCGCAAGCCUGAUCCAGCAAUGCCGCGUGCAGGAUGAAGGCCUUCGGGUUGUAAACUGCUUUUGUACGGAACGAAACGGUUCUCUUUAAUAAAGAGGGCUAAUGACGGUACCGUAAGAAUAAGCACCGGCUAACUACGU